GGGCCGUUAGCUCAACUGGCAGAGCAACUGACUCUUAAUCAGUAGGUUGAAGGUUCGAUUCCUUCACGGCUCACCA
rnacentral:tRNA from 5 species